UCCAAACAUGUUUAUUACAAAGACGUUUAAUUGUCCUUAAUGCUCUCUUUCACUCUCAAAUGAUGUAGCUGUCUACCCCGCCAUGCUUUUUGGAUCAAAGGCUCAAGUUAGAAAGGGAGACACUAUAGAUUUGAAGUGUAAUAUCUCUGGCAUCAUAAGAUUCUGGGACAAGGUUCAUGUGUACAUUUACAAGAAUGGAGUUGAGAUGGCAAUGAAGGUUUUGGAGAAAGGUGAAGAUGACGCUAUUUUCACCAUGAAGGAUGUUACAAGAGAAGACUCAGGCAACUACAGCUGUGUGUACACCAGAGAUAAACUUUUACUGGAUCAAGUGAAGUCAGCAGGCAAGAAUUUAGUAGCCAUCUGUGUCUACGAAGAGGCUGCACAUGAUGUAAUACUGGUCAAUGUAAUCCGACUGAUAAGUUCAGCUGUUGUGGUCAUACUUCUGCUGACUGUAGUGGCUGUUAGUUCAUGCUGUUCAAAAAGAGGAGCUUUACAAUGUUAUUGUGGAAGAACACCACAACAGGAGGAGAACGAUGUGCCAAUGACAGGGGAGGGUGACGGUAUGUUUUUUAAGCUUUCUGAUAAAACUAUUGUUCUAUUAAUGAACAUUUAUUUCACAUUCUGGGAUAUUUCUUUGUCUUAGACGGAACUUCAAACAUGGAGGAAGAAUCCAGUGAUGAAUUUGCUUAUGAAAGUGUUGCAGGUAAGACCAAAAACAAAUGUGGGAUAAUGUUUAGCUGUAAGUGUAUUUUAAAAUACUGACCAUGCUGAUACUAAGUAAAUGGUCAUUAAAUUAGUUUGUUAAAAGUUUAGUUUUUUCCAUUUGAUGUGAGGUUGGACUUAAGCAUGUAUAGCUUGUUAGCAUGUAGGGCCCACCGAUUGCUGCCACCUCGUUAUUUAGUUUGGGCUCCCGAGUGUCACAGCAGUCUACGGCACUGCAUCUCAGUGCUAGAGGCGUCACUACAGACCCUGGUUUGAUUCCAGGCUGUAUCACAACUGGCUGUGAUUGGGAGUCCCAUAGGGCAGCGCACAAUUGGCCCAGCGUCAUCUGGGUUAGGGUUUGCCGACAUUGUAAAUAAGAAUUUGUUCUUAACUGACCUGCCUAUUUAAAUAAAGGUUAAAUAAAAAAAUUAAAAAGUAUGUGUUACACCUGUGCUGGUUGCCAUCUCGUUCGUGGGAAGGUGUUUCACCUGGUGCUAUUUAAGAGUGGCUGACCCAGUGCUCUAGUUGUCUUGAGAGAUGUGAAGGGUUAGCACCUUUAGUUGGCUCUCCCUAGUUUGAUUUCUAGACAAACCAUCCUUUAUCCCUGUUUUUGUUUCACUCCACUUUUUGGUUUUCUCCCUGUUUGGUGUGGGUUUUUCUUUUGUUUGCCUCUUCUUGGGCAAAUUUAGUGGGCAUUCAUGGUGGCUGUCUUUUAGAUUCCCAUUGUUGCUAGUCAACUUUCAGUGGACACACCCGUGUGUCUUUCAGAACCCCUCUUAAAACCCCACCUGUUUCAUUUACAUUGUUGGUCAGGGACAUUUUAGAUUUUCUUGCUAGGGAAUGUAACAAGUUUCAUUGCCUUGCUUUAAAACAGUCUACAUUUGUUAUUGUGAUCAUUUUCAUCUUAUCCACCAAACAGGUGGGGGGGUGUACCAGAAUGUGUAUGAGAACUGCUUAGAUAAUAUGACUCAUAAAAAUGUACUCAUUACGAUGUUAAUAAUAAUAAUGUUUUUUUUCAUUCUUACAUUUGCAAUACUGGGUAAAUUAAAAACUUGUUUGGGAGAUGUUUUAUUUAAGGUUUUUAGCACCUUGAAUAAAACAAGUUUUUCUGUUGUUUUUUUUAUUCGUUUUUUUAUGAUUUAGAUAUUUCAUCUUCUAAUCACCCAAACAGGCGAUACAACAUUUGGAUGAGAAAUGCUAAGAUAAUACAAUUAUGAUAAUAAUGAUGCUGUAUAUUUUAAAACAUUUUUUUUUUUAAAGUUAUUCUGACAUUUCUGAUACUGGGUAAAUGGAUAUGACUAAACUAAUAUGCAACGCCUUGAGUGAAUAUUGUCUAAAUUAAUGGUUUUAACAUCUAAUCUUCAAAACAGGUGAUGAGAUUGAGAUGUAAAACAACUUGGGUGAGAAAUGCUAACAAAUGCAUUGAUUAUAUUGUGAAAUUUAAAAGGCUGGGUAAAUGGUUAUAUAACAGAUUUUAGGCCCUUGGGUGAAAAACUUUUGCAAAAAUUGUUUUAAUUAAAUAUAUUUAACUUCCAUCUUAUCUCCAAAACAGACGAUGCCAUAUACCAAGAAAUUACGGUGAGCUGUGAGUUCCAAAUGAACUUUGACUAAUGAUAACUAAUGAUUAUAAUGACUCUUAGUUAUAAUUCAAAAUUCAAUGUAUUCCUCUUCUAUUUUUACAUUUACAUUUUAUUGAGGUGAGUUCAAAAUGUUGAAAUAGUAACAAUAUAUACUGUACUCUCCACCGUAAAGUUAGGUGUACUUUUGGAUUUCCAUACAUGGUAGGCAGAACGAGUCAGGUUUUGUCACUGACCUUGAAAAAUAUCUUGACUCACUUUCUCUGUCAAUGGUGUCAUUCCUGACAUAAGUAGCAGUUGGCACAGGAAACCAAAGAUUUUUUUGUUGGUACUUCACAUAAAGAGAACCAAGAUGAUCUGGGUGUGUUUCCUCUGGGCAGAGAAUAGACUUGUGUUUCCUUUGAAUGUCCUCAGAGCUGUGGUGUAUAAUGUGGUGAACACUCUUCAAUUUAGCAUUGCUUCUGUAAUAAACCUAUUUAAUCAUUGUCUUAAUGUCAUUGUCCUACCUUAUCUUGGAUCCUACAAUAUCCUGAAAAUUGAGAAAUGUCUAAUACAAGAUAAAAAAAAUUAAAGUCUCUCUGAACACACAGCUGUCAUCUAAUGUGAUGAAGGAUAUACUGGAUCUGAUACAAUAUGUUGGGGUCUUUUCAUCCACAGAUGCAGCAAAUCAAGGCCCAGAUGCAGAAGUUGUGUAUGCCAAAUCACGCAAAAAGACAGGACGUCAUCAGUACAUGUCUUAAUCAUGAGUGGAAGUCAUUUAAUUUUAAAGCACCACAUUAAGUAUUAUUGCUGUAUAUACGGUUGCAUUCUCCCU
ensembl:lncRNA